ensembl:snoRNA
ACCCCCCAAAGGCAUGUUUUUGGUUCUCUGUCCAUGGACACAUAAGAAUUGGAGGCAAAAAAGUGUUGAUUUGGCUAUGUCUGGGGCCAGCUUGCUCCACACAGACCCAAGGUCAACCAUCCCACAUAG